GACGUAGGGCGCAAGCGUUGUCCGGAUUUAUUGGGCGUAAAGAGCUCGUAGGCGGCUUGUCACGUCGAUUGUGAAAGCCCGAGGCUUAACCUCGGGUCUGCAGUCGAUACGGGCUAGCUAGAGUGUGGUAGGGGAGAUCGGAAUUCCUGGUGUAGCGGUGAAAUGCGCAGAUAUCAGGAGGAACACCGGUGGCGAAGGCGGAUCUCUGGGCCAUUACUGACGCUGAGGAGCGAAAGCGUGGGGAGCGAACAGG
rnacentral:rRNA from 1 species